rnacentral:rRNA from 1 species
GACGAACGCUGGCGGCGUGCUUAACACAUGCAAGUCGAACGGAAAGGCCCUGCUUUUGUGGGGUGCUCGAGUGGCGAACGGGUGAGUAACACGUGAGUAACCUGCCCUUGACUUUGGGAUAACUUCAGGAAACUGGGGCUAAUACCGGAUAGGAGCUCCUGCUGCAUGGUGGGGGUUGGAAAGUUUCGGCGGUUGGGGAUGGACUAGCGGCUUAUCAGCUUGUUGGUGGGGUAGUGGCUUACCAAGGCUUUGACGGGUAGCCGGCCUGAGAGGGUGACCGGCCACACUGGGACUGAGAUACGGCCCAGACUCCUGCGGGAGGCAGCAGUGGGGAAUAUUGCACAAUGGGCGGAAGCCUGAUGCAGCAACGCCGCGUGCGGGAUGACGGCCUUCGGGUUGUAAACCGCUUUCGCCUGUGACGAAGCGUGAGUGACGGUAAUGGGUAAAGAAGCACCGGCUAACUACGUG